GUGGGGAAUAUUGCGCAAUGGGGGAAACCCUGACGCAGCAAUACCGCGUGAGUGAAGAAGGUUUUCGGAUCGUAAAACUCUUUUAUUGGGGAAGAAGAAGUGACGGUACCCAAUGAAGAAGUCCCGGCUAACUACGUGCCAGCAGCCGCGGUAAUACGUAGGGGACAAGCGUUGUCCGGAAUCACUGGGCGUAAAGGGCGCGUAGGCGGUUUUAUAAGUCAGAUGUGAAAGGUACCGGCUCAACCGGUGACGUGCAUUUGAAACUGUAAGACUUGAGUGCUGGCGAGGCAAGUGGAAUUCCUAGUGUAGCGGUGAAAUGCGUAGAUAUUAGGAGGAACGCCGGUGGCGAAGGCGGCUUGCUGGACAGAUACUGACGCUGAGGUGCGAAAGCGUGGGGAGCGAACAGGAUUAGAAACCCGUGUAGUCC
rnacentral:rRNA from 1 species